UGGAAAGUAGCAUAUAAAGUGUGUUUUGUUUACACCAAAAAGGAGAUGGUAAGUUCUUUCUAU
rnacentral:tRNA from 1 species